rnacentral:misc_RNA from 1 species
UUUCCGUAGGUGAACCUGCGGAAGGAUCAUUACUGAGUGAGGGCCCCUCGGGGUCCAACCUCCCACUCGUGUUUAACGAACCUUGUUGCUUCGGCGGGCCCGCCUCACGGCCGCCGGGGGCAGAUGCCCCCCGGGCCCGCGCCCGCCGAAGCCGCCUGUGAACGCUGUCUGAAGUAUGCAGUCUGAGACAAUUAUUAAAUUAAUUAAAACUUUCAACAACGGAUCUCUUGGUUCCG